AGUACAUAAAUCUCUUUCCUGUUUUUCCUUGAACUCUUUUCAUUUAGCAAUGAAAAGCCCAAAACUUACAUGGUGUUGAAGGCUUAAGGUAUUCAAGUAAUUUUGAAAAUCUUGUUCGCUUAAUAUUUAUUAGUUCUGUGUUCUUCCUCUUGUAGCCUUUAAUUGCAUUAUUAGCUCCAGAAACUAUCCAAAUGAAAAAGAAGCCCCCAACGUCUCAAUUUUACAAAAUAACAAUACACCAAACUAAACAAGCAACUACCUGAAGACGCCGAUAAACCAUGCUUGCUCAUAUAUGUUUAUAUAACAAAAAAGAAUAAAUUAAAAAAUAAAAAUUAUAAUCAGAUGAAGAUUCUUAGUAGUCGUCCAGACAGUAAGUUCAAAGAUACAUAGAAUAAAAUCCUAAAAGAAGUAAAAGUUUUGCAUCAAGCAAAUUGAAAGCAGAUGCAAACAUUUAAAUCCAGUUGACGAAUACAAGCGACCUUACGGUUCUUCAAGCAGGUUUUCUUAUAAGAAAGAUCCGUUUGGUUGCUAAGAAAGUGCAGG
rnacentral:misc_RNA from 1 species